AUAAUUAUUGUUAUUAUUACAAAGUGAACUGCUUUCGUUUCACUGUUGUUGUUGUUUUUGCUUUUAGACAUGUAACUUAACGUACUCCAGAGACGCACUAACUUGCACAGCAUUGAAUGGAAAAGGCUUUGUCCAUGUCCAGUUGAGGGCAUCAAGAACACGCAGAUAGCCUAUACCUGUGUCUGCCUGGACAGACUGCAGUUCUGCUACUCCACGCCAAGGCUUUUGUAUGGAUGCCUGACUACUACAGUGUUCUCUAAAGGUAUUACUGGAGCAAAACAACAGCACCUGUUACAGUGAAAUUUGUAUUCAUAAAAAUAGUGAUACAUGUGUAGCAGGUCCAGUACAUGUGAUGUCAUUGAGAAGUUGUUUUUAUUAAAUGUCAUUAAAACAAAUAAAUAAACAUGCUAUUUAAAUAAAUCUAAAUAUUAAAAACUUGAGGAUUAAGAAGAAAUUAAAUGCAUCAUCUGUCUUGCGAAAAGGGUCUACUUAAGAAUUCUGGUGUUUCCCAACUGAAAGGGAUAGUUCACCCAAGAAUGAAAAUUUACUCACAUUUUA
ensembl:processed_transcript